GAUGAAGAACGCAGCGAAAUGCGAUAAGUAAUGUGAAUUGCAGAAUUCAGUGAGUCAUCGAAUCUUUGAACGCACAUUGCGCCCCCUGGUAUUCCGGGGGGCAUGCCUGUCCGAGCGUCAUUACAACCCUCAAGCUCAGCUUGGUGUUGGGCCCCGCCGCCCCGGCGGGCCCUAAAGUCAGUGGCGGUGCCGUCCGGCUCCGAGCGUAGUAAUUCUUCUCGCUCUGGAGGUCCGGUCGUGUGCUCGCCAGCAACCCCCAAUUUUUUUCAGGUUGACCUCGGAUCAGGUAGGGAUACCCGCUGAACUUAAGCAUAUCAAUAAGCGGAGGA
rnacentral:misc_RNA from 1 species